UAUAAUGCAGUCGGACGGGAUUCGGGACAGAGCUUGCUUUGUCCUGAUGAGAGUGGCGCACGGGUGCGUAACGCGUGAGCAACCUGCCCCUGUCAGGGGUAUAGCCCCUCGAAAGAGGGAUUAACACCGCAUGACGAUAUCCCCCGGCAUCGGGGGAUGUCCAAAUAUUCAUAGGACAGGGAUGGGCUCGCGUGGCAUUAGCUAGUUGGUUGGGUAACGGCUGACCAAGGCUACGAUGCCUAGGGGCUCUGAGAGGAGAAUCCCCCACACUGGUACUGAGACACGGACCAGACUCCUACGGGAGGCAGCAGUAAGGAAUAUUGGUCAAUGGAGGGAACUCUGAACCAGCCAUGCCGCGUGCAGGAGGAAGGCCCUACGGGUCGUAAACUGCUUUUGCCGGGGAACAACCCUAUCUACGUGUAGGUAGCUGAGUGUACCCGGAGAAUAAGGAUCGGCUAACUCCGUGCCAGCAGCCGCGGUAAUACGGAGGAUCCGAGCGUUAUCCGGAUUUAUUGGGUUUAAAGGGUGCGUAGGCGGCUUUCUAAGUCAGGGGUGAAAUACAGCGGCUCAACCGUUGCAGUGCCUUUGAUACUGGAGGGCUUGAAUGUGGUCGAAGGCGGCGGAAUGGGACAAGUAGCGGUGAAAUGCAUAGAUAUGUCCCAGAACCCCGAUAGCGAAGGCAGCUGCCUAGGCCAUAAUUGACGCUGAUGCACGAAA
rnacentral:rRNA from 1 species